rnacentral:tRNA from 1 species
UUUCAUCCCUUGGAUUUUAACCAAGAUUAAGUGGUUGGAAGCCACUCAUGUUAUUUAUAUUAGGAUGAU